AUUGAACGCUGGCGGCAGGCCUAACACAUGCAAGUCGGACGGUAGCACAGAGGAGCUUGCUCCUCGGGUGACGAGUGGCGGACGGGUGAGUAAUGUCUGGGGAUCUGCCCGAUAGAGGGGGAUAACCACUGGAAGCGGUGGCUAAUAACGCAUAACGUCGCAAGACCAAAGAGGGGGACCUUCGGGCCUCUCACUAUCGGAUGAACCCAGAUGGGAUUAGCUAGUAGGCGGGGUAACGGCCCACCUAGGCGACGAUCCCUAGCUGGUCUGAGAGGAUGACCAGCCACACUGGAACUGAGACACGGUCCAGACUCCUACGGGAGGCAGCAGUGGGGAAUAUUGCACAAUGGGCGCAAGCCUGAUGCAGCCAUGCCGCGUGUAUGAAGAAGGCCUUCGGGUUGUAAAGUACUUUCAGCGGGGAGGAAGGCGAUAAGGUUAAUAACCUUGUCGAUUGACGUUACCCGCAGAAGAAGCACCGGCUAACUCCGUGCCAGCCGCCGCGGUAA
rnacentral:rRNA from 1 species